UGAUCAUUUUUCAUGUCAUUCUUCUGAUAUGAAGUGUGUAAAUACCACAACACAAAUUCCUUUAAGCUCAAAAUAACAAGUGUGAACAAAAUAGAAGAAAUACAGACCAUACAAAUUUUAUAUUAAAUUUUCCUAUUGUAGAUAUGUUAAUUACAUAGCUAAAAGUUACAGACCUCUCAGAUUGCCUCCUCACUCAGGGCGGUCUACCACCAGCCCACCAGCUGUUCCUGUUUAUGAAGAAGUCGAUUCAGCAAGAAGAGCAGCUGAAGAAGAAAUGAACAAUAUGGCCAAUACUGCUACCCUAGGAAACGUAUGGCCACCGAACGGAGCCUCAGCGAGAGACCCAUCACAGGCCAAUAUGAUAAACUCACCUGCCCCUCCCUCCCAGAACGAGAUACAAUAUGCUGAUGCACUUAUGACAGAAAUCACUGUUUAACAAAAUAAAAUGACAUCUUUUUUUUAACAGAUAAAUGUCCUUUUUCGAUCUUCCAAUAAUACCCCUUUCUCUUCCUCUCUCUCUCUCUUUUUUUCUUUCAGUCAAAAUCUCUUUAAUUAGCAUAAAUAUCAGUUGACUAUGUGUGCUAUGUGU